AGAGUUUGAUCCUGGCUCAGGACGAACGCUGGCGGCGCGCCUAACACAUGCAAGUCGAACGAGAGAGAAGGAGCUUGCUUCUUCGAUCGAGUGGCGAACGGGUGAGUAACGCGUGAGGAACCUGCCUCAAAGAGGGGGACAACAGUUGGAAACGACUGCUAAUACCGCAUAAGCCCACGGGUCGGCAUCGACCUGAGGGAAAAGGAGCAAUCCGCUUUGAGAUGGCCUCGCGUCCGAUUAGCUAGUUGGUGAGGUAACGGCCCACCAAGGCGACGAUCGGUAGCCGGACUGAGAGGUUGAACGGCCACAUUGGGACUGAGACACGGCCCAGACUCCUACGGGAGGCAGCAGUGGGGAAUAUUGCACAAUGGGGGAAACCCUGAUGCAGCGACGCCGCGUGGAGGAAGAAGGUCUUCGGAUUGUAAACUCCUGUUGUUGAGGAAGAUAAUGACGGUACUCAACAAGGAAGUGACGGCUAACUACGUGCCAGCAGCCGCGGUAAAACGUAGGUCACAAGCGUUGUCCGGAAUUACUGGGUGUAAAGGGAGCGCAGGCGGGAAGACAAGUUGGAAGUGAAAUCUAUGGGCUCAACCCAUAAACUGCUUUCAAAACUGUUUUUCUUGAGUAGUGCAGAGGUAGGCGGAAUUCCCGGUGUAGCGGUGGAAUGCGUAGAUAUCGGGAGGAACACCAGUGGCGAAGGCGGCCUACUGGGCACCAACUGACGCUGAGGCUCGAAAGUGUGGGUAGCAAACAGGAUUAGAUACCCUGGUAGUCCACACCGUAAACGAUGAUUACUAGGUGUUGGAGGAUUGACCCCUUCAGUGCCGCAGUUAACACAAUAAGUAAUCCACCUGGGGAGUACGACCGCAAGGUUGAAACUCAAAGGAAUUGACGGGGGCCCGCACAA
rnacentral:rRNA from 1 species